UACGUAGGGUGCAAGCGUUGUCCGGAAUUAUUGGGCGUAAAGAGCUUGUAGGCGGUUUGUCACGUCUGCUGUGAAAUUUCGGGGCUCAACCCCGAACUUGCAGUGGGUACGGGCAGACUAGAGUGUGGUAGGGGAGACUGGAAUUCCUGGUGUAGCGGUGAAAUGCGCAGAUAUCAGGAAGAACACCCGUGGCGAAGGCGGCUUUCUGGGACGGUACUGACGCUGAGACGCGAAAGCGUGGGGAGCGAACAGG
rnacentral:rRNA from 1 species